rnacentral:rRNA from 1 species
GCCAGACUCCUACGGGAGGCAGCAGUGAGGAAUAUUGGUCAAUGGCCGGGAGGCUGAACCAGCCAAGUCGCGUGAGGGAAGACGGCCCUACGGGUUGUAAACCUCUUUUGUCAGGGAGCAAGGUGCAGGUCGGGACCUGCUGUGAGAGUACCUGAAGAAAAAGCAUCGGCUAACUCCGUGCCAGCAGCCGCGGUAAUACGGGGGAUGCAAGCGUUGUCCGGAAUCAUUGGGCGUAAAGCGUUCGUAGGCGGUGUGUCAAGUCUGAUGUUAAAGCCCGGGGCUCAACUCCGGUUCGGCAUUGGAUACUGGCAAACUAGAAUGUGGUAGAGGUAAAGGGAAUUCCUGGUGUAGCGGUGAAAUGCGUAGAUAUCAGGAGGAACAUCGGUGGCGAAAGCGCUUUACUGGACCAUUAUUGACGCUGAGGAACGAAAGCCAGGGGAGCAAAUGGGAUUAGAUACCCUCGUAAA